UACGUAGGGUCCGAGCGUUGUCCGGAAUUACUGGGCGUAAAGAGCUCGUAGGUGGUUUGUCGCGUUGUUCGUGAAAACCCGCAGCUCAACUGUGGGCUUGCAGCCGAUACGGGCGGGCUGGGAUUCGGUAGGGGAGACUGGAAUUCCUGGUGUAGCGGUGAAAUGCGCAGAUAUCAGGAGGAACACCGGUGGCGAAGGCGGGAUCUCUGGGCCAGUACUGACGCUGAGGAGCGAAAGCGUGGGGAGCGAACAGG
rnacentral:rRNA from 1 species